GAUGAACGCUGGCGGCGUGCCUAAUACAUGCAAGUCGAGCGAACGGACGAGAAGCUUGCUUUUCUGAUGUUAGCGGCGGACGGGUGAGUAACACGUGGAUAACCUACCUAUAAGACUGGGAUAACUUCGGGAAACCGGAGCUAAUACCGGAUAAUAUUUUGAACCGCAUGGUUCAAAAGUGAAAGACGGCCUUGCUGUCACUUAUAGAUGGAUCUGCGCUGCAUUAGCUAGUUGGUAAGGUAACGGCUUACCAAGGCAACGAGGCAUAGCCGACCUGAGAGGGUGAUCGGCCACACUGGAACUGGGACGCGGUCCAGAGUACUACGGGGGGCAGCAGUAGGGAAUCGUCCGCAAUGGGCGAAAGCCUGACGGAGCGACGCCGCGUGAGUGAUGAAGGUCUUCGGAUCGUAAAGCUCUGUUAUUAGGGAAGAACAGAUGUGUAAGUAACUGUGCACAGCUUGACGGUACCUAGUCAGAAAGCCACGGCUAACUACGUG
rnacentral:rRNA from 1 species